CGGGAAGAGCUCAAAUUUGAAAUCUGGCGGGUCCCCCGUCCGAGGUGUAAUCUGGAGAAGCGUUUUCCGCGCUGGACCGUGUACAAGUCCCUUGGAACAGGGCGUCACAGAGGGUGAGAAUCCCGUCUUCGACACGGACCGCCAGUGCUACGCGAUGCGCUCUCGAA
rnacentral:rRNA from 1 species